AACGAACGCUGGCGGCAGGCUUAACACAUGCAAGUCGAGCGGGCCCUUCGGGGUCAGCGGCCGACGGGUGUGGAACACGUGGGAACGUACCUUUUGGUUCGGAACAACUCCGGGAAACUGGAGCUAAUACCGGAUAAGCCCUUAGGGGGAAAGAUUUAUCGCCAAACGAUCGGCCCGCGUCUGAUUAGCUAGUUGGUGGGGUAAUGGCCCACCAAGGCGACGAUGAGUAGCUGGUCUGGGAGGAUGAUCAGCCACACUGGGACUGAGACACGGCCCAGACUCCUACGCGAGGCAGGAGUGGCGGAUAUUGGAAAAUGGGCGCAAGCAUGAUCCAGCCAGGACGGGUGAGUGAUGAAGGCAUUGGAGUUGUAAAGCUCUAUUGUCCGGGAAGAUAAUGACUGUACCGGAAGAAUAAGCCCCGGCUAACUUCGUG
rnacentral:rRNA from 1 species